ACUUGCAAAUCUCCUUUCAUAAGAAAUGACGUAGCGCCAUUCUUCGUCUCUCUUACUGCGAUGUUGCUUCUCCUCUUCUACAUCGCCUUCUCCAUCUCCUCAUAGUCUCCAUAGCUCCAGGUCCAACUACAUCAACCACCAAGUUGUGGUCAAUCACCUCUCCAGGGCCAUACAUUGACAAACAAAGUAGCAAGGCAGAUUAUAACCCUGAGAACAAUGUACAUAGAGAUUUUUACCAAGUUCCAUUGUCCAAAUAGAAAAUUGAUGGGAUGCUGAGAGCAUAACAGAGCACUCCAACAAUGGAUGAAGUACCAAGGAAUCUCCAUAGCUUAGAUGCAUAAGCCAUCAUGGAAUUUGGACAAACACAGGUAUGAAAGAGUCUUCUUCUUGUAGAGUGGCUAUUUGGAGCCUAGUGGCUAGUAUUGUCAGAAACUUAUCUUUUUCUUUCAUCUUUGGAAAUUUUAGAGAAUAUGCAUAUCUACACAUCUUCUCAUUUUCUUUGUUUCAUACUAACUACACUA